ACUCAAAGGAAUUGACGGGGACCCGCACAAGCGGUGGAACAUGUGGUUUAAUUCGAGGCAACGCGAAGAACCUUACCAGGAUUUGACAUGCCCUCUAUGGGUCUCUGAAAGGAGUCCCUUCACUUCGGGUGGGAGGUGCACAGGUGCUGCAUGGCUGUCGUCAGCUCGUGUCGUGAGAUGUUGGGUUAAGUCCCGCAACGAGCGCAACCCUCGUCCUCUGUUGCUAACAGGUAAUGCUGAGAACUCUGAGGAAACUGCCGGUGAUAAGCCGGAGGAAGGUGGGGAUGACGUCAAGUCCUCAUGGCCCUUACAUCCUGGGCUACACACGUGUUACAAUGGCGAUGACAAUGCGCUGCUAGCCCGCAAGGGUAUGCUAAUCGCAAAAAGUCGCCUCAGUUCGGAUUGUACUCUGCAACUCGAGUACAUGAAGUUGGAAUCGCUAGUAAUCGCGCAUCAGCUCGGCGCGGUGAAUACGUUCCCGGGUCUUGCACACACCGCCCGU
rnacentral:rRNA from 1 species